UACAGAGGUCCCAAGCGUUGUUCGGAUUUACUGGGCGUAAAGGGUGCGUAGGCGGUUGGAUAAGUGUGAAGUGAAAGCUCCAAGCUUAACUUGGAAAAUGCUUCAUAUACUAUCUGACUAGAGAGCCGGAGAGGAGACUGGAAUUCUCGGUGUAGCAGUGAAAUGCGUAGAUAUCGAGAGGAACACCAGUGGCGAAAGCG
rnacentral:rRNA from 1 species